rnacentral:rRNA from 1 species
AUUGAACGCUGGCGGCAUGCUUUACACAUGCAAGUCGAACGGUAACAGGCCUUCGGGUGCUGACGAGUGGCGAACGGGUGAGUAAUGCAUCGGAACGUACCCAGAGGUGGGGGAUAAGGCAGCGAAAGCUGUGCUAAUCCCGCACGGGAUCUGAGGUUGAAAGCGGGGGACCGAGCAGCAAAGUUUGGCCUCGCGCCUUUGGAGCGGCCGCUGUCGGAUUGGCUAGUUGGGGGGGUAAAGGCCUACCAAGGCGACGAUCCGUAGCCGGUCUGAGAGGACGACCAGCCACACUGGGACUGAGACACGGCCCAGACUCCUACGGGAGGCAGCAGUGGGGAAUGUUGGACAAUGGUCGCGAGCCUUAUCCAGCAAUGCCGCGUGCGGGAAGAAGGCCUUCGGGUUGUGAACCGCUUUUGGCAGGAACGAAACGGUGUCCGCUAAUACCGAGCGCUAAUGACGGUACCUGCAGAAUAAGCACCGGCUAACUACGUG